rnacentral:lncRNA from 1 species
UGCUCGCUGAAGUCCUUUUUGCCCCAGCCGGUAGGUCUCUAGAUGUUACAAAGAACCCCGAACAAUCCAAACUGUUAAUCUUUGAUACCGCUUUGUACUUAUGAUCUUGUAUCCACUGACUGUCUUGUUAGAUUAAUCCAAUAAAUUUCAUUCACUUCGCAUACUCAAUCCUAUGGACACCCUUUUAAUUCUUUAAUCACAGACGUAACUCGAUUUUACAAAACAGUCAAGAGUAAUCAAACCCACUUCAUUAAAAAUUCCGAUUCACCAUUACAACACUGACUUCAGCAAUGAUUGCCUCAGUCUUCCCAAAACCCUAUGAUGAAAAAAAAACCCAAUUCUCCGUCUUCUUUCUCGGCCCGAAGCAUGAAGCUAGCUCUCGCGAACCUUCACAAAAACCCCCCAUAAAAAAAAAACCUCUCUCCCCCCCUCCUUUCUUAACCUUAAUUCUGAAUUUCUUCAAUCUUCCGUCUUGGAUCCGAAAUUGGCUCAAGCUGUCAAGGCUUAGAUUUGAAAUCGGCUCUCACCGUCAGAGCUUUUUCGUCCAUUUUUACCUUUAAGAGAUCCAUUUACCGAAAACAACAUUCCCUGAAACGGCACAGAGAAUAGGACAGCUUG